UGACAGUACUCCUACGGGGAGGCAGCAGUGGGGGAAUAUUGCACAAUGGGCGCAAGCCUGAUGCAGCCAUGCCGCGUGUAUGAAGAAGGCCUUCGGGUUGUAAAGUACUUUCAGCAGUGAGGAAGGUUCAUACGUUAAUAGCGUAUGGAUUUGACGUUAGCUGCAGAAGAAGCACCGGCUAACUCCGUGCCAGCAGCCGCGGUAAUACGGAGGGUGCGAGCGUUAAUCGGAAUUACUGGGCGUAAAGCGCAUGCAGGUGGUUUGUUAAGUCAGAUGUGAAAGCCCGGGGCGUCAACCUCGGAAUAGCAUUUGAAACUGGCAGACUAGAGUACUGUAGAGGGGGGUAGGAAUUUCAGGUGUAGCGGUGAAAUGCGUAGAGAUCUGAAGGAAUACCGGUGGCGAAGGCGGCCCCCUGGACAGAUACUGACACUCAGAUGCGAAAGCGUGGGGAGCAAACAGGAUUAGAUACCCUGGUAG
rnacentral:rRNA from 1 species